AUUGAACGCUGGCGGCAGGCCUAACACAUGCAAGUCGAACGAGUGGCGGACGGGUGAGUAAUGCCUGGGAAACUGCCCGAUGGAGGGGGAUAACUACUGGAAACGGUAGCUAAUACCGCAUACCAUCGGAUGUGCCCAGACGGGAUUAGCUUGUAGGUGAGGUAACGGCUCACCUAGGCGACGAUCCCUAGCUGGUCUGAGAGGAUGACCAGCAAAACGGGGACUGCGCCACGGUCAAGACUCCGAAGGGAGGCAGCCGUGGGGAAUAUUGCACAAUGGGCGCAAGCCUGAUGCAGCCAUGCCGGGUGGAUGAAGAAGGCCUUCGGGUUGUAAAGUACGUUCAGCGGGGAGGCGUUGCCCACAGAAGAAGCACCUGCUAACUCCGUGCCAGCAGCCGCGGUAAUUC
rnacentral:rRNA from 1 species